rnacentral:rRNA from 1 species
GAAUAUUGCACAAUGGGCGCAAGCCUGAUGCAGCCAUGCCGCGUGUGUGAAGAAGGCCUUCGGGUUGUAAAGCACUUUCAGCGGGGAGGAAGGCGGUGAGGUUAAUAACCUCACCGAUUGACGUUACCCGCAGAAGAAGCACCGGCUAACUCCGUGCCAGCAGCCGCGGUAAUACGGAGGGUGCAAGCGUUAAUCGGAAUUACUGGGCG